rnacentral:rRNA from 1 species
AAGGGAGAGUAACGCGUGGAUUAUCUGCCCUCAGGACUGGGAUAGCCAGGGGAAACCCUGGGUAAUACCGGAUAAUGUCUCCGGACCAAAGGUGAAAGUCCGCCUGGGGAUGAGUCCGCGUCCUAUUAGCUUGUUGGUGAGGUAACGGCUCACCAAGGCAAAGAUGGGUACGGGGUGUGAGAGCAUGCCCCCGCUCACUGGGACUGAGACACUGCCCAGACACCUACGGGUGGCUGCAGUCGAGAAUCUUCGGCAAUGGGCGCAAGCCUGACCGAGCGACGCCGCGUGUGGGAUGAAGGCCUUCGGGUUGUAAACCGCUGUCGGAGGGGAGGAAAUCAGUAGGGGUACACCCCUAUUGUUGACCUAUCCUCAAAGGAAGGACGGGCUAAGUUCGUGCCAGCAGCCGCGGUAAGACGAACCGUCCAAACGUUAUUCGGAAUCACUGGGCUUAAAGGGUGCGUAGGCGGCCCUGAAAGUUGGGUGUGAAAUCCCUCGGCUCAACCGAGGAACUGCGCCCAAAACUACAGGGCUUGAGGGAGACAGAGGUGAGCGGAACUUGCGGUGGAGCGGUGAAAUGCGUUGA